rnacentral:rRNA from 1 species
UACGUAGGGAGCAAGCGUUGUCCGGAAUCAUUGGGCGUAAAGCGCGCGUAGGCGGCCCGGUAAGUCCGUUGUAAAAGUCGAAGGCUCAACCUUCGAAAGCCGAUGGAUACUGCCGGGCUAGAGUUCGGGAGAGGCGAGUGGAAUUCCUGGUGUAGCGGUGGAAUGCGCAGAUAUCAGGAGGAACACCGAUAGCGAAGGCAGCACGCUGGUACGACACUGACGCUAAGGCGCGAAAGCGUGGGGAGCGAACAGG